UAUGUACUGCUAAUAUGACUGUUAAAAAGGUGUUUUGAUUGUUCUUUCAUUGCUUAUGAACUUAAUGCUAAAAUUGAGAUUGAUCACCUUCAUUUUAGAUCCUAGGAUUAAUUGAGUCCGACUAACCGUUUCCGCUCAAUACCUGAACCCAUUUGCGUGAUCUAACUGACUCAGGCGCAACGACAGUUGGUCUGAGAAGGUUAGAGAACAAUUUAAACCCGUUCGUAAAGCUCACUAGAAUAACCGUCGAUCGACGCAACUAUCGUUCUGUCGGUCGAUCGUUACAAAGGUGUAUCGGUCGAUGUACAUAAAGUCACAUCGAUCGACACUUUCUCGAGAUCAAAAUACAACAGUUGAGAUCCGAGAUCUAGUGAAGAUAACCUAUCCGGUUUAAUUAACGUUUAGUUCAAGAACCAUUGAACCCUUUAGUCUAAACUAAGUGCAUACAUUUUACACCUGAGAAUUACCUGGAUCUAGCUACUUUCCUAAUCUUGAAACCCCUUCAAUUCAAUCUAUUGAAUCACUGUUGUUUUCGAUUUAUCAUUUAUUGCUUUUAAAACUAUUAAAACCUUUCAGUCUAUAUUCAUUUCUAAUUAUUUAAGUCUGUUGAGUAAUCCUAGAGUCUCUGUGGAUUCGAUCCCUAAGUACUAUAUCUGAAUCUCUUUUGAUGAGAGUAACACUCUUUAGGGUAAUUUGAGUGAUAUCAGAGAUUCAGAAGCUGAUUGAAGAGAUAAGUUGGGAGAUGGUACUAUCACGAGAUACUCAAUCUAGGAAACAUUUAAUAUAACAUUUUUUGGGAUGAGAAACAUUCAAAAACCAAUCCUCCAAAAUCUCCAGAGGAAUACCAUCCUUCUUAUUAGACGCUGGAGAAAAAAAAAACACCUCUUCGAAUAGAUGAAUGUAUUUGAGAAAUAAAGAAACGGAGGAAGUAUUCAUAUAUUGAUGAUUAAACGAAAUAUGGAGUUACUAGUAUGUGACCAGAAAACAAUUUGUCUGUAUAUCAAGUAUAUAUAUAUAUAUAUAUAUAUAUAUAUAUAUAAAGUUUUUCCUAUCUAAAGAGAGAAGGGAUAUUAUAAAAUACGCUUAUAUUCGAGUUACUUUUUGUUGGUUGUUGUAUUCCGGUAUGAUUACCCAGACCGAGUCAAGUUUGAGUAACAGAAUAGCCUUUUGACGUAAAAAAAGAUCAUAACAUUCUUUUAUAAACGGUUUUUGUGCGUCUUUAAACAUUUAAAACGAUAAGAUGGUUUUUGUUGAAUAUGAUGUUUUCCGCAAUGGAAAUUUUUAUUUGUCGCGCUUAAACUUCAAUUGAACUUUCACUAAUAGCAAUGGGAAAGAGGCUAUAAAAAAAUUAAGAGUUCUAAGAUGAGGUUUAUACAACAACAACAACAAAAAACUAAAAUAGAUAAAUGUGAUAUAAAGUACAUAGAUUACCUUGAUUUAGACUAAUGUGUUUUCUCCAUGGUCUUGCAUGAAAAGAAAUGUAAAAUUGAGUUUAUUAGAAAAAUUUGAUAGCCAAAAGAAUGAGAAUGUCAUAGACUUCAUCAAAUCAUUAAUAUUUAGAUAAACAUAUGCAAGUUAAUACCAAAAUUUUAUCCAUUCUGAUAUUUUUCUAGUUUUGGUUCGGGUUCAAUACAACUUUUUUUGUUCCGGUUGGGUUCGGGUUUUCGAGUUCUGAUAUUUUGCCGAGCUGUAGAGAUAAGGAUCAACUCUAUAUAAAAUGAUAACAUCCAUACCUGUAAUUAUCCAUAUAUACAAACCCCUAAAGAUUAUGAUUCUACUUAUUGUAUAUAAACACUACUUUGUACAUCUGUAAGACACACACGUACUAAACUAAAAGAAUUUUUGACUUACUUUUUUUAGCUUAAAUUUUAUUUUCUAGUACUCCUACUUUCUACAUGGCUGCGUCUUCUCUAGAUAAUGGCGACAACAUCUAUUUCAACCUAUGGCGUAAUGGAAAGCUCUCUAGAUAAUGGCGACAACAUCUAUUGCCACGUAUGGCGUAAUGGACAGCUCCACUUCACUUAUUACAUACACUUUACAUCCCUCGGAUAACCUAUUUGCAUUAAUCACACCGGUUCUGCUUCAAGGAGACAAUUACUCGGAAUGGGCGAUGGAGGUUUGGAAUUCUCUCCAAGCUAAACAGAAGAUUGUGUUCUUGAUGACACAAUUCAAAAAUCAACCUCAAAUCCUGAUCUAAAUCAUUGGACCUCUACUAUCUUAUGUUUGUAGGAUGGAUACGAACAUCUACUGAGCCUAGGUUUGAUCCAUAGUUUCUCUUCUUCCAGAUGAUUUAAAGCUAUGGGAUUCUCUCACUCGACACUCAAGAACAUGUUGUCCAUUCUGUUUGCAGUUGGUGAUUUCAUUCUCCAUAAGAUGCUUUCAUACAACAUAUGUACCUGUGCAGCGUCAACCAAAACUGAAAAUAAAACUCGAAGUUGCAAAGGUUCACAAAUUUCUCUUCGGCUUCGACAAAAUACACCUCAGCACACUCCAUUCUCAAAUCAUUGACAAAGAACCACUACGUUAUCUCAACUGUGAGGUUUGGUCAAACCCAUCGGACUUGUUCAUCGGCUGGGCCGACUUGCACAAGUUAAACGCGGACAAUCUAUGGGCUAGUCGAAGAAACCCAUUAGGUCAAGUGCUGCCAAUACAAAGAAGGAGAGAUCACAAAAGGGAUCUCUAAGCACAAGCCAAGUCUCGGGGAGGCAGGAGCCUCAAGCAUCCAUAGAGUGCUUCCAUGGCGUCUCUUGGAGAGAUAGAGUAAGCUAGAUAUAAAUAUGUUAUUCUAGGCUUAGUUCUUAUCCAUGCAUUCUCUUGUAUUAUCUCUUCUAUACUCUCUAGGGUUACCACAUCGGAGGUGUUUUCCGAUACUUCAUAGUGGAUGUUGUGGAUCAUGGAUCCACCCAAAUGUCGCGGUGCGGCCGUGAACUGGGUGAAAAAUUCUUUAGUCAUGAACAAGGAUUGGAUCAAUGGGAAAGAUCAAAGGACCUGGGAUUAGGAGCGAACGAUACAAUAGCUUCGAAUCUCCCGACAAGUUCUUGGUAGAGCUGCGAUUGAACUCCACAAGUUGUAUCAGAGCUAUAAAUUCCGUUACAAUUGGUAUCAGUGCACAUGUUCAUUGAACCACGGAUUCCACGUCUCAUGGAGGAGAGACAUAUGAAGAACCUUCCUAGCAAGACAGAAGAAUCGUAGGGUUCAAUGGAAGCUGGUGGUCACGUGGUUCUACACACGUGAAAAUCUGAUUAGGAUAAAAAUCAGAUGAUACACCGAGAUCAAGAUCAGGUGAAAGAGAUUUUUGGUUUACAAGAGAAAAAAGAAAACUGUUGGACGUUCUUCGCUGCAACUGCACAAGUUUAUAGAGGAAGGAUUCACUAGUCAGUUUAAUCGGUUGAGAUGAUUUCUAGUUAUGAAAUCAGGGUUUCUCUGGAGUUCUCUAAGGGUGCAAGAAUCUGCUACUGUGUGACAAGGACUUCGGGUUACUCACAAGAUAAGAUGGUGGCAGGGUGCUAGCACAAGAGAGAGAGGUUUCAGAGCUGUCUUCGAUCUGCAGUCACAAGGAGUGUGUGACAGUCACAAGGCGUGUGUGACUAUAUGCAUUGGAGUUUUGUAUUUCUUCAUAUUCUGCAGGGUGUUGCAAAAGGGUUGAAGGGAAUCGACUCAUGCAGGUUCGUCUAUGUGUGAUCAUGAGAGUCUACAGUUCAGAAAACAAGAUACUAUAAGGCUGCUAUUUUCAAAGGGAAUGCAGUGUGGCUUUCUAAGCAGAUAUGUGUUUGGCGUAACACAUAGUUUUAUGCUGGGAUGGAUCUGCAAGAACGAGGAGUUACUUGUUUAAGGCAGAGUUUGGCUGAACAGGUGAUGGUGUCAAAUCGAGAUUGAUUCAGAAUGGAAACAUGUAUGUUUCGGGUUUUCUACAUGGGAUUCAGUAGUAGUUUGUUUUGGCUUCUCAAAGCAUGUGAGAGGGGAAACAAAUGGGUCUACAUGGUAUCACGUUUGCAGAGGUAAUGAUUUGUUUGAGCAGAGAUUAUUUGCGUCGAAAGCCUUCUUAGUAAGUUGUGCUAAGCGGCGGGUUUUGUUGGCAACAUCAGCGGUUCCGAGUGAUGUACAAGGCAAGGUGUUCAUUCAGAUUGUUACAAAGGAAAUUCUUAGAAAGUUGGUGUCUGCAGGCUAUUGAGGUUGGUUAGGAUUAAAUCAAAGGGCUUCUAGUUUGAGGCAGUGGUGAUUCAGGUUCCGCAGGAGCUUCAAGUUAGCUUUGACAUCAGCUUGAAAUUCUGGAGAAAAAGAAUCAGUAAAUUUGUAGUCACGAUCUUAUGACUAUUUUAAGGUGUGACGAACCAAGGAUGAUGCUGAAAGAUAGACAUUAUCAAGGAAGAAGCAGGUGGCGUUAGUUUGUGGUAGUCAAUGACAACGUCAGAGACAGAAGAAGAAAUGUUCACAGAGGAUUAUCUCAAUGCACGUGAUGGUUUUAGGUUGGUGAAAUCAUGAUGAGAGACUUGCAAAGGAUGCAACGGUAUUUGCAAGAAAGAGAAGACCCGCGUAAGCUGCAGCAAGAACAGCUGCACAUGUGCGCGUGUUCAUGAUUUGCAGUUGGAGAUUGAUUGAGUCGUUUGAGAUGAAGAAUAUCUCAAGGGAAGACAGACUCACAUUAAGUCAAAGUUAUGCUUAAGGAGAAAGAAUCAAAGGUCAUCAAUCUCACAAGGAAUGAAGGUUUUUCAGAGAUCACAAAGAAUGCAGGUUAUCUUUGCGAAAGAUGAUCAACAGAUCUUGCAGUGCACAGGUUGGUUGUCGUGUGACAACAGUAUGACGAAACAGAGGUGAUUUUUUUUGGAUCAGUUCAAGUUAGUCUCGUGGGUGCAUGAGAGAAAAGGUUUUUGGCUGUGAGAAGAAAGCCAGAAGAGUCACCAAGUCAGUGCGGCUAAAACAUGUUGUACCUCCACGAAAAAGCAACUAGGGCAAGGACAAAGUGUGUAAAACCCUACAAAGGGGUAUGUUGGAGCAAAUGGCUAUUUGUGGUAACAAGAUGUAGCAGCUUUCGUAAGUUUGUGAGAGUGACAGGAAAAACCUAAGGGAAAAGGCGAUUCAAGGUUAGACUUAGCUUGAAGAUUCUGGUCAAAGGCAGAGAAAAAUGUCCAGGUGGAAUCGAGUUGAAUAUGUUAUUACGACUAGUUGUAAUCUUGAGGAUAAAUGAUAUGAGACAACAGUCAUCAACACUUCUUCAAGAAGCCGAAAGUCGCUACCACAGCUAGUAGAAGCGUGUGUGAGUUAUACCUUAGGGGAAUCGUCAAGGAUGUCUGAGUCGGAAAUUCAAGAUGAAUAGACUCAGAAGAGAAGUAGGGAUGCCGGUCUGGUGUCAUGACUAUAGGUGUCAAGGUGGAGCUCUCGAA